UACGUAGGGUGCAAGCGUUAAUCGGAAUUACUGGACGUAAAGCGUGCGCAGGCGGUUUUGUAAGUCUGUCGUGAAAUCCCCGGGCUCAACCUGGGAAUUGCGAUGGAGACUGCAAGGCUAGAAUCUGGCAGAGGGGGGUAGAAUUCCACGUGUAGCAGUGAAAUGCGUAGAGAUGUGGAGGAACACCGAUGGCGAAGGCAGCCCCCUGGGUCAAGAUUGACGCUCAUGCACGAAAGCGUGGGGAGCAAACAGG
rnacentral:rRNA from 1 species